rnacentral:rRNA from 1 species
GUCGGUAAAACUCGUGCCAGCCACCGCGGUUAUACGAGGGGCUCAAAUUGAUAUUACACGGCGUAAAGCGUGAUUAAAAAAUAAACAAACUAAAGCCAAACACUUCCCAAGCUGUCAUACGCUACCGGACAAAACGAAGCCCUAUAACGAAAGUAGCUUUAACACCUUUGAACUCACGACAGUUGAGGAACAAACUGGGAUUAGAUACCCCACUAUG